UGGGGAAUAUUGGGCAAUGGGGGCAACCCUGACCCAGCCAUGCCGCGUGAGUGAUGAAGGCCUUCGGGUCGUAAAGCUCUGUGGGGAGGGACGAAACCUGGUUGGCUAAUAUCCAACCAAGCUGACGGUACCUCCUUAGCAAGCACCGGCUAACUCCGUGCCAGCAGCCGCGGUAAUACGGAGGGUGCAAACGUUGCUCGGAAUCAUUGGGCGUAAAGCGCACGUAGGCGGUCUGUCAAGUCGGGUGUGAAAGCCCUGGGCUCAACCCAGGAAGUGCAUUCGAAACUAGCAGACUCGAGUAUGGAAGAGGGUCGCGGAAUUCCCGGUGUAGAGGUGAAAUUCGUAGAUAUCGGGAGGAACACCAGUGGCGAAGGCGGCGACCUGGGCCAAUACUGACGCUGAGGUGCGAAAGCGUGGGGAGCAAACAGGAUUAGAUACCCCCGUAGUCC
rnacentral:rRNA from 1 species